UUUUUAUAGUUAUAAUUAUAAAUAACACCUGCUCAAUGAAUAUUAAAUAGCGGUUCUAGCCCUAAGGUAGCAUAGUCAUUAGUCUCUUAAUUGGGGGAUAGUAUGAAUGGUGAGACGAAUAAAAUUAAGUUUUAAGUUUAAUAGUUUAAAUUAAUAUAUAAGUCAAAAAGCUUAUUUAAAGUUUAGGGACAAGAAGACCCUACGAAAGUUUAAUUUUAGCCUUUUUUAUAAUGUAUAAUAAAGAUAAAUUUUAUUGGGGUAAUAUUAUAAGACAAAAUUUUAUGAAUAAUAAUUUUUAUAGUAAGAUUUGCGAUCCAUCAUUGAUGAUUAUUAGAUUAAAUUACUUUAGGGAUAACAGCACAAUUAAAAUUUGAAAGUUCACAUUUACAAUUUUGAUUAUGACCUCGAUGUUGGAUUAAUAUUCAUAUUAGUGUAGAAGCUAUUAUUUGAAAGUCUGUUCGACUUUUUAUUAAUUACA
rnacentral:rRNA from 1 species